UGGUGGUGAUUUUGGUGGCGCUCACCACGUCGGCAGCCAUGGCGGCGCCGUCCAUAAUGUUACCUGCGAAAUGCCAUCAUACGUGAGCCAUGCGUGGUAUGGAAACACAAGGCAUGAAAGGCAAUCAUUGAAACCUGGACCAAGAGGAAUGCACGCUGGUGACAAUAGGGUACGGAGCGAUGUCACUUCCCAGGACAAACCGAUACCGCUGUAUGUGGUGCUAUUUUACUCCGUCCUCUAUACCUCCGCAGUGAUCGGAUUCAUUGUUUUCGUCGUGCUUGUGUCCCGACGAUGAAUGAAGCUGGAUGCUUACUUUUGAUUCAUUCUGUUCACCUUCCGGCGACGAAUGAAUUUGGUAGAUGUGUACCUUUGAAUUCAAACUUGAUUUAAUCUAAUGAAUAUAUGAAAACUAUGUUGAUAUUAUAACUGCUGCUUACUAUUUUAUGGAAGAACAUGAAAUAAAGUACGAUGUGAUGGCAAAGCCAAAAUAAAAUAUUAUUCCAAAUACUAAUCUAGAUUACAAAUGGUUUUAAAAAUCCAUUUGAUUUGAAAGUCGUGCAAAAUCGCAAUAUAUGAAAUAGAACUUUUUUCUAGAUACCGUAUUGUUACGGGGGAUUAAUUAAAACAUCCGCCAACUGCUGUAUGUGCAAUAAUUACGAUUUCACAAAGAACGUUUGAUUCUGAUUAUUUUUUGUAUCCAUAAUGUAAAUCCUGUACGGCUGCUUCCUGGUGUGUCAAUCAUUCUCCUGUAACCAGAAUUUUGUCAUCACAAGUGCAAACGAGUAAAACUUAUUCAUAAAUUUAGCUGCACAAGAAAUUAAAGAUUUAUUCUUAUUAAGUUUAUACGAAAAAUUUUUGGCGUGCUAGGAUUUGCAAAUAAUUUAAUUGAGAGCGCAGCUUCUCACUUACAUACAGUGCAGUUUAAUCAAGUUCGAUACUCUUCAAGAUAUGCCAAGAAACGAAGUCACACGACGAAAAAGUUUGAAACAUAAAAAUCUCAAUCAUA